GACGAACGCUGGCGGCGUGCUUAACACAUGCAAGUCGAACGGAAAGGCCCUGCUUUUGUGGGGUGCUCGAGUGGCGAACGGGUGAGUAACACGUGAGUAACCUGCCCUUGACUUUGGGAUAACUUCAGGAAACUGGGGCUAAUACCGGAUAGGAGCUCCUGCUGCAUGGUGGGGGUUGGAAAGUUUCGGCGGUUGGGGAUGGACUCGCGGCUUAUCAGCUUGUUGGUGGGGUAGUGGCUUACCAAGGCUUUGACGGGUAGCCGGCCUGAGAGGGUGACCGGCCACAUUGGGACUGAGAUACGGCCCAGACUCCUACGGGAGGCAGCAGUGGGGAAUAUUGCACAAUGGGCGGAAGCCUGAUGCAGCAACGCCGCGUGCGGGAUGACGGCCUUCGGGUUGUAAACCGCUUUCGCCUGUGACGAAGCGUGAGUGACGGUAAUGGGUAAAGAAGCACCGGCUAACUACGUGCCAGCAGCCGCGGUGAUACGUAGGGUGCGAGCGUUGUCCGGAUUUAUUGGGCGUAAAGGGCUCGUAGGUGGUUGAUCGCGUCGGAAGUGUAAUCUUGGGGCUUAACCCUGAGCGUGCUUUCGAUACGGGUUGACUUGAGGAAGGUAGGGGAGAAUGGAAUUCCUGGUGGAGCGGUGGAAUGCGCAGAUAUCAGGAGGAACACCAGUGGCGAAGGCGGUUCUCUGGGCCUUUCCUGACGCUGAGGAGCGAAAGCGUGGGGAGCGAACAGGCUUAGAUACCCUGGUAGUCCACGCUGUAAACGGUGGGUACUAGGUGUGGGGUCCAUUCCACGGGUUCCGUGCCGUAGCUAACGCUUUAAGUACCCCGCCUGGGGAGUACGGCCGCAAGGCUAAAACUCAAAGGAAUUGACGGGGCCCCGCACAAGCGGCGGAGCAUGCGGAUUAAUUCGAUGCAACGCGUAGAACCUUACCUGGGUUUGACAUGGAUCGGGAGUGCUCAGAGAUGGGUGUGCCUCUUUUGGGGUCGGUUCACAGGUGGUGCAUGCCUGUCGUCAGCUCGUGUCGUGAGAUGUUGGGUUAAGUCCCGCAACGAGCGCAACCCUUGUUCACUGUUGCCAGCACGUUAUGGUGGGGACUCAGUGGAGACCGCCGGGGUCAACUCGGAGGAAGGUGGGGAUGACGCCAAGUCCUCAUGCCCCUUAUGUCCAGGGCUUCACGCAUGCUACAAUGGCUGGUACAGAGAGUGGCGAGCCUGUGAGGGUGAGCGAAUCUCGGAAAGCCGGUCUCAGUUCGGAUUGGGGUCUGCAACUCGACCUCAUGAAGUCGGAGUCGCUAGUAAUCGCAGAUCAGCAACGCUGCGGUGAAUAAAUUCCCGGGGCU
rnacentral:rRNA from 1 species